rnacentral:tRNA from 1 species
GGGGAUAUAGCUUACUGGUAAAGCAUUAUGCCUGUAACACAAAGCCAUGCAUUCUAUCUCCA